rnacentral:rRNA from 1 species
UACGUAGGGGGCAAGCGUUGUCCGGAUUUAUUGGGCGUAAAGCGCUCGCAGGUGGUUUGUUGCGUCGUGCGUGAAAGCCCCCGGCUCAACUGGGGAGUGUCGUGCGAUACGGUCGAACUGGAGGCCAGUAGGGGGGUGCGGAAUUCCGGGUGUAGUGGUGGAAUGCGUAGAGAUCCGGAGGAACACCAGCGGCGAAGGCGGCAUCCUGGACUGGUCCUGACACUCAUGAGCGAAAGCGUGGGGAGCGAGCCGG